rnacentral:rRNA from 1 species
UACAGAGGUCCCAAGCGUUGUUCGGAUUCACUGGGCGUAAAAGGUGCGUAGGUGGUGAGGUAAGUCGGAUGUGAAAGCUCGGAGCUCAACUCCGAAAUGGCAUUGGAAACUACCUUGCUCGAGGGUUGGAGGGGGGACUGGAAUACUUGGUGUAGCAGUGAAAUGCGUAGAUAUCAAGUGGAACACCAGUGGCGAAGGCGAGUCCCUGGACAACUCCUGACACUGAGGCACGAAAGCUAGGGGAGCAAACAGG